CCUACGGGAGGCAGCAGUGGGGAAUUUUGGACAAUGGGCGAAAGCCUGAUCCAGCAAUGCCGCGUGCAGGAAGAAGGCCUUCGGGUUGUAAACUGCUUUUGUACGGAACGAAACGGUCUGCUUUAAUACAGUGGGCUAAUGACGGUACCGUAAGAAUAAGCACCGGCUAACUACGUGCCAGCAGCCGCGGUAAUACGUAGGGUGCGAGCGUUAAUCGGAAUUACUGGGCGUAAAGCGUGCGCAGGCGGUGAUGUAAGACAGUUGUGAAAUCCCCGGGCUCAACCUGGGAAUUGCAUCUGUGACUGCAUCGCUAGAGUACGGUAGAGGGGGAUGGAAUUCCGCGUGUAGCAGUGAAAUGCGUAGAUAUGCGGAGGAACACCGAUGGCGAAGGCAAUCCCCUGGACCUGUACUGACGCUCAUGCACGAAAGCGUGGGGAGCAAACAGGAUUAGAUACCCUGGGAGUCCACGCCCUAAACGAUGUCAACUGGUUGUUGGGUGCAUUAGUACUCAGUAACGAAGCUAACGCGUGAAGUUGACCGCCUGGGGAGUACGGCCGCGAAGGUUGAAACUUAAAGGAAUUGAGG
rnacentral:rRNA from 1 species